rnacentral:rRNA from 1 species
AAUGAACGCUGGCGGCAGGCCUAACACAUGCAAGUCGAACGCACCUUUCGGGGUGAGUGGCGGACGGGUGAGUAACGCGUGGGAACGUGCCCUUUGCUACGGAAUAGUCCCGGGAAACUGGGGGUAAUACCGUAUGUGCCCUUCGGGGAAAGAUUUAUCGGCAAAGGAUCGGCCCGCGUUGGAUUAGGUAGUUGGUGGGGUAAUGGCCUACCAAGCCGACGAUCCAUAGCUGGUUUGAGAGGAUGAUCAGCCACACUGGGACUGAGACACGGCCCAGACUCCUACGGGAGGCAGCAGUGGGGAAUCUUAGACAAUGGGGGAAACCCUGAUCUAGCCAUGCCGCGUGAUCGAUGAAGGCCUUAGGGUUGUAAAGAUCUUUCAGAUGGGAAGAUAAUGACGGUACCAUCAGAAGAAGCCCCGGCUAACUCCGUG